rnacentral:rRNA from 1 species
AGAUACCCUAUUAUUAAAAGCUUAUAAAUAAAUUUAAAAAAGUACUACAAUGAAAUUUGUAUAAACUUAAAAUAAUAUGGCGGUAAUUAUAAACUUUAGGGGAACUUACCUAAUAAAGGAUAGCCAUCCAGGUAAACUACCUUUUCUAAUAACCUGUAUGCCGUCGUCAUCAGAAACCUUUACUAAAAAGAUUUCAAAUUAUUAUAAUUAAAUAUAAUUAUGACAGAUCAAGGUGCAGUUUAUGAAAAGGGUAAGGCGAGUUACAAUUUUAAUUAUUAACGGAAGAUAUUAUUUAAAAAAUACUUGAAGCUGGACUUAAAAGUAAAUUAUAUUAUAUAUAAUAUUUGAAUUAUUUAUAGUUGUGUACAUAUCGC